AUGUAUGAAAGGGAAAUGAACAUGGAUGUGGGUUUGGGAAUGUCUUCCCUGAAGAGGAAACCAUGGACAGCCGAUAAUACCCAAUGCAAUUUUCAAACCAGGAGACAUGCUGAGAAAAGCUAAGAAAUAACAGAAAGCCUAAGUGUCUGAGUUAUCCGACUUUAAAACCUAUGAUCUAUUUUCCAAAUCAUGCUGCAGGGUCAGGAACAUCGAACGCCAUCUGGUUGGGAAUUCUUCUGAAGGAGAUGCUUCUCAGAGUGGAAAAAGGAGUAGCACGAGUACAUACUUGGAGUGUGUUUCUGAACUAGGAAGUUACUUGAGGAGGUGUUCCACCGAAACAAAGGAAUGAGCUGAAAGAGGAAGACAGGGCAUCCAGUCUGAGAAAGGUAAAUGGAACCCCUAGGAUGUCAGCAAAGGAAAAAUCCCAGGAUUACUGUUGGGCACUGGGCCCAAAGAGCAACCAGUCCAGAUGGCAGGUCAAAAGCCUCCAGGAAUGCUAUUGUCAAAAACCAAAAAUACAUCCACA